rnacentral:rRNA from 1 species
CCCUUAGACGUUCUGGGCCGCACGCGCGCUACGCUGACGGAGCCAGCGAGUAUAAACCUUGGCCGAGAGGUCUGGGAAAUCUUGUGAAACUCCGUCGUGCUGGGGAUAGAGCAUUGUAAUUAUUGCUCUUCAACGAGGAAUUCCUAGUAAGCGCAAGUCAUCAGCUUGCGUUGAUUACGUCCCUGCCCUUUGUACACACCGCCCGUCGCUACUACCGAUUGAAUGGCUUAGUGAGGCUUCCGGAUUGGUUUAGAGAAGGGGGCAACUCCAUCUUGGAACCGAGAAGCUAGUCAAACUUGGUCAUUUAGAGGAAGUAAAAGUCGUAACA